rnacentral:lncRNA from 1 species
AUGGAGCACCUCUUCAACCUGAGCCUGAGGCUGGGAAGAGUCCCACAGCUCUGGAAAACCUCCUGUGUUGUACCAAUGCCAAAGACUUCACACCUCAACAGCUACAGGCCGGUGGCUCUGACAUCCCACCUGAUGAAGACCCUGGAGCGGCUGGUCCUGGCUCAGCUUCAGCACCUGGUGAGCUCAUCACUGGACCCACUUCAGUUUGCCUACCAGCCUGGCAUUGGAGCGGAUGAUGCCGUCAUUCACCUUCUACAUCGUUCCCUUGCUCACCUGGAGACCGCUGGGAGCACUGUGAGAAUCAUGUUCUUUGAUUUCUCCAGUGCCUUCAACACUAUUCUUCCCUCGGUUCUGAAGGACAAGCUGGAGAACUCAGGAGUGGACCAUCACCUCACUACCUGGAUUUUGGACUACCUCACCGACCGACCACAGUAUGUGAGGACUCAGGGCUGUGUGUCGGACAGGGUCGUCUGCAGUACGGGGGCCCCACAGGGAAUGGUUCUGGCUACGUUCCUCUUCAUCUACACUGCAGACUUCUCCCACAACUCCACCCAGUGCUUCCUGCAGAAGUUCUCUGAUGACUCUGCAAUAGUCGGCCUGAUCACUGAUGGGGACGACAAGGAGUACAGAGGACUGACUCAAGACUUUGUGGACUGGUGCCAGCUGAACUACCUCCAGAUCAAUGCCAGUAAAACCAAGGAGCUGGUGGUAGACUUCCGCAGGCACAAACAUCCUCCACUGCAACCACUGAACAUCCAAGGUAUGGACAUCGAGGCUGUGGACAGCUACAGGUACCUUGGUGUUCAUCUGAACAACAAACUGGACUGGACUCAUAAUUCAGACGCCCUCUACAGGAAAGGGCAGAGCAGGCUGUACCUGCUGCGGAGACUCAGGUCGUUUGGAGUAGAGGGCCCACUCCUGAAGACGUUCUAUGACUCUGUGGUGGCCUCAGCCAUCUUUUAUGGUGUGGUCUGCUGGGGCGGCAGCAUCUCUGCUGGGGACAGGAAGAGACUGAACAGGCUGAUCCGAAGGGCCAGCUCUGUUCUAGGAUGCCCUCUGGACCCAGUGGAGGUGGUGAGUGACAGGAGAAUGGUGGCUAAGCUGUCAUCCCUGUUGGACAACAUCUCCCACCCCAUGCAUGAGACUGUGACAGCACUGAGCAGCUCCUUCAGUGGGAGACUGCGGCACCCACGGUGUGGGACGGAGAGAUUUCACAGGUCUUUCCUCCCCACUGCUGUCAGACUCCACAACAAAGACUUUAACUGA